rnacentral:lncRNA from 1 species
UUCAGAGUGGAAUGAGAUCACUUAUCAAAUUGGCAACAGGUCCUCUCUGGCCAUCUCCGUAUAGUUUGACCCAAUGAGUUUGGUUCUCCCUUCUUUGUCAAUUCCCCUGUCUCCUGAAUGUCUCAUUCUCAAACUAAUUUUGCUUGAAAUUGUGGCUGGAGAUGGUAUGUUUGAAACUUAAUAUGAUGAACAUAGAACAGGAAGAUUUCAACACCUUUUUAGCAAAAGAUGUUCACAUAAACCUGAAAUGAAUAUAGCCAAAGAGGACGUGGUCUUUCAGCACCUCCAGCUAAAAAAUGCUGCAGAGGAACUUCCUGUAUUAAGUACAGAUGGGGUUUCACCAUGUUCGCCAGGAUGGUCUCGAUCUCCUGACCUCGUGAUCUGUCCACCUCUGCCUCCCAAAGUGCUGAGAUUACAGGCCAUGGAAGUUGAACCACUUUCAGACUAUGUCCUUGGCUUAUGGGGAGAUUUUUCUAAUCUCAGUUCAUUGGUACUUUCAAAGUUACUUCCGGAUUACAGUGCAUUCACUCCUGUCCUAUGAAGGUGUCCAGGUUAUUGGAUAAAACAAAAGUGUUAUGAUUUUAUAAAAGGAGACACAAGAGUAGAAGGACAAAGCUGACUCUUUCAUAGGAGAACUGGAAAAUAUGUAAAAUGGAAGGAAGACUGAUAUAACCCUAGAUUUAGUUAUUAUUUCAUCUGUCUACAUGGUAAUGCAAUAAAAAAUUGUGUCAACCCC